rnacentral:rRNA from 1 species
UACGUAGGGUGCGAGCGUUGUCCGGAAUUAUUGGGCGUAAAGAGCUCGUAGGCGGUUUGUCGCGUCGAAUGUGAAAACCCGGGGCUCAACUCCGGGCUUGCAUUCGAUACGGGCAGGCUAGAGUUCGGUAGGGGAGUCUGGAAUUCCUGGUGUAGCGGUGAAAUGCGCAGAUAUCAGGAGGAACACCGGUGGCGAAGGCGGGACUCUGGGCCGAUACUACGUGAGGAGCGAAAGCGUGGGGGAGCGAACG